GCACGAAGUUAGCCGGGGCUUAUUCUGCGGGUACCGUCAUUAUCUUCCCCGCCAAAAGAGCUUUACAAUCCGAAGACCUUCGUCACUCACGCGGCAUGGCUGGAUCAGGCUUGCGCCCAUUGUCCAAUAUUCCCCACUGCUGCCUCCCGUAGGAGUCUGGGCCGUGUCUCAGUCCCAGUGUGGCUGAUCAUCCUCUCAGACCGGCUACGGAUCGUCGCCUUGGUAGGCCGUUACCCCACCAACUAGCUAAUCCGACGCGGGCCCAUCCAUUGGCGAUAAAUCUUUCCCCCGAAGGGCUUAUCCGGUAUUACCCCAAGUUUCCCUGGGCUAUUCCGAACCAAAGGGUAGGUUCCCACGCGUUACUCACCCGUCUGCCACUCUCCAUUGCUGGAGCGUUCGACUUGCAUGUGUUAGGCCUGCCGCCAGCGUUCGUU
rnacentral:rRNA from 1 species